GACGAACGCGGCGGCGUGCUUAACACAUGCAAGUCGAACGCUGAAGCUCAGCUUUUGUUGGGUGGAUGAGUGGCGAACGGGUGAGUAACACGUGAGUAACCUGCCCCCCUUCUUUGGGAUAACGCCCGGAAACGGGUGCUAAUACAGGAUAUUCACUGGCUUUCGCAUGGGGGUUGGUGGAAAGGUUUUUCUGGUGGGGGAUGGGCUCGCGGCCUAUCAGCUUGUUGGUGGGGUGAUGGCCUACCAAGGCUUUGACGGGUAGCCGGCCUGAGAGGGUGACCGGUCACAUUGGGACUGAGAUACGGCCCAGACUCCUACGGGAGGCAGCAGUGGGGAAUAUUGCACAAUGGGCGAAAGCCUGAUGCAGCGACGCCGCGUGAGGGAUGGAGGCCUUCGGGUUGUAAACCUCUUUCGCUCAUGGUCAAGCCGCAGCUUUGGGUUGUGGUGAGGGUAGUGGGUAAAGAAGCGCCGGCUAACUACGUGCCAGCAGCCGCGGUAAUACGUAGGGCGCGAGCGUUGUCCGGAAUUAUUGGGCGUAAAGGGCUUGUAGGCGGUUGGUCGCGUCUGCCGUGAAAUCCUCUGGCUUAACUGGGGGCGUGCGGUGGGUACGGGCUGACUUGAGUGCGGUAGGGGAGACUGGAACUCCUGGUGUAGCGGUGGAAUGCGCAGAUAUCAGGAAGAACACCGGUGGCGAAGGCGGGUCUCUGGGCCGUUACUGACGCUGAGGAGCGAAAGCGUGGGGAGCGAACAGG
rnacentral:rRNA from 1 species